rnacentral:lncRNA from 1 species
GUUCAACUUUAGUCAGCGCCAGGCGCUUACCGAGGAGGGACGUAUCGCUCGCUGUUGCGCCGCGUAAACUCGCCGGAGUUCGAAAAAUAUAGCGCAACCUACGCAUCUAACACGUUUUGAUACUAGAUAAUGAAAGCAUAUUUAAUUCAGACUAUCAGACUCAAUUGAAUACCAGUACAAAUAAUAUGGAAAAUGAAGAUACAAUACAUGGAAGACGAAUUAUAGAUUUUAGUUUUUUUAUAAAUCAAUUACUUAUAAUUGAUAAACAUGGUGAAAAGUUUGGUUGUCGAUUAAAUAAUUUAAAAAUUGUAAACGAUUACUUGUUUAUUGUAACUCAAUCGAGCUAUUCUAGGUUAUAAAAUUCAUCGGUACAAAUAAUAUUUCAUAAACUAUAAAAACAAUAAAUUAUUUCGGAAAAAAGUGGCAAAGUCUCAAGUUUGUUUGUGCCGCGUGGCGGUCCGCAGGUGUGCGUUGCGUAUUUCACUAGACGCACACAUGCGCAAGUGCUGCCGGCUAUCGUCUAAUUUACCUACAACUGAGCAAUUCGAUUUUGUAAUAGCGCUCUUAAAGGCUUGUUAUAAGUUUGUUAUUCAAAG